rnacentral:rRNA from 1 species
UACGGGGGGGGCAAGCGUUGUUCGGAAUUACUGGGCGUAAAGGGCUCGUAGGUGGCCAACUAAGUCAGACGUGAAAUCCCUCGGCUUAACCGGGGAACUGCGUCUGAUACUGGAUGGCUUGAGUUUGGGAGAGGGACGCGGAAUUCCAGGUGUAGCGGUGAAAUGCGUAGAUAUCAGGAGGAACACCGGUGGUGUAGACGGCUUUCUGGACAAUCACUGACGCUGAGGUACGAAAGCGUGGGUAGCAAACAGG